ACUUAUAUCAAGAGAUGACCUUGUUCUACCAUGACGACCUCUUUAUGAGGUGAUGGACGUUACAUUUCAUUCAAAAUAUGAAGUGGCUGGACUGAAGAAACAUCCCAUAAAACUUGAAGAGACAGUGAGCAUGUGGUCCAUGUAUCAAGAGGGUAUUUUUUGGAAGACUCCACCCAGGAGAUGCUCGAUGAGUGGCGGCCGUUAAUGUGUCCUUAUCACAUUACAUUUAGUAAAGCAAUGUUUUACUUUUCCCUGUUUUUGCCAACAACACUCUUGCUCGAAAAGCAGGACAAAGGGGGUUAUGGUUUGAGGAGCUGUUAGGAUUUGGCAGUCAUGUACCAACAGCUUAAGAUGGGAAGAGUUUUGUUUUACUUCACACAUGACGGACUAGGCAAAAGAGGUCCUAGCUACAUGUACAUUGUACAGUAGUACGUGUUUAGUGUAUGGACUCCCUUGUAGCUACAAGACUGCUUAAAGUUGUUUGGCAGGCUUGCAAAAGAUAACAUUGGAUUUGUUGAUUGGAGUCCAUACCUUGC